CAUAGCUGCAUGCCUCGAACAUUCUUUCAUGACCAGAAUAUGAUUAUUUUGAGGGUGACAGUGUUGUCUUUGCAGUAAAAACUUCCGUGCCUUGUCUGGAAAGUGGUAGGCGAUUGAGAAGAAAAAGUGACUCGGGAAGUCUGUCGGCGGGUAACCAUGGCAACUCCUCAACCAUGACAGGUUGCCUGAAUGAGUGUAUAAAAUGGUCGAGUUUACGGGCAAGGAGGCAGUGAGUGAGAAAGGAAGCAACGAACAACAUCGAGAUUAGCCAUUUAGGGAUAAAAGACAGAGUAUUUGGAGGACAUCUAAACAAUAGACCGACCUUCUCUUUUUAUGCAGUGUAGUGGAAAAGCAAGACGAACAACAGUAAUAUAAUAGUCGAGCAAAACUGCAAACCGCCACCCGUCGCCUGUCUAUCGCAUACACACUUUUAAGCCUACAGUCCACAAUGAACACGCUAUCGCAAUACCUUCUUCUGCUCUGCUCGCUACUGGUUUUCAUCCAGAGCUACGCUCUCCCAACAUACGACAAACAGAACGUCGACGAACUCCAAGGCGACAAUGACAUCGAUGAACAACAGUUAGAAAUGUGGGACGCGAUGCAGGGGGGCGACAACGAUGACGUCUUUUCCCGAUUAACGAGGGGUGGAGAAGCAUUCAGCCGUGACCGACGUCGCGUUUGCGUCAGCGACUGCAGUUUCUGCCAUUCUUUCUUCCCAAC